rnacentral:rRNA from 1 species
UACGAAGGGGGCUAGCGUUGCUCGGAAUGACUGGGCGUAAAGGGCGCGUAGGCGGAUUGGCACAGUCAGAUGUGAAAUUCCCGGGCUUAACCUGGGGGGCUGCAUUUGAUACGUGUUGUCUUGAGUUCGGAAGAGGGUCGUGGAAGUUCCCAGUGUAGAGGUGAAAUUCGUAGAUAUUCGCAAAGAACACCGGUGGCGAAGGCGGCUAUCUGGACCGUAACUGACGCUGAGGCGCGAAAGCGUGGGGAGCAA